GCCGGAAUGAUAUCAACUGGUGUUGGUUGCAGGCUUCAAACCUGUAGGUGGGGUGACCCACAGCAGUUCAAUUCCGCCUUUCCGGUG